rnacentral:rRNA from 1 species
UACGGAGGGUGCAAGCGUUAUCCGGAUUCACUGGGUUUAAAGGGUGCGUAGGCGGGCAGGUAAGUCAGUGGUGAAAUCUUCAAGCUUAACUUGGAAACUGCCAUUGAUACUAUCUGUCUUGAAUGUUCUGGAGGUUAGCGGAAUAUGUCAUGUAGCGGUGAAAUGCUUAGAUAUGACAUAGAACACCUAUUGCGAAGGCAGCUAACUACGGAAAUAUUGACGCUGAGGCACGAAAGCGUGGGAUCAAACAGG